CCUACGGGAGGCAGCAGUGAGGAAUAUUGGACAAUGGGCGCAAGCCUGAUCCAGCCAUGCCGCGUGCAGGAAGACGGUCCUAUGGAUUGUAAACUGCUUUUGUACAGGAAGAAACACUCCCUCGUGAGGGAGCUUGACGGUACUGUAAGAAUAAGGAUCGGCUAACUCCGUGCCAGCAGCCGCGGUAAUACGGAGGAUCCAAGCGUUAUCCGGAAUCAUUGGGUUUAAAGGGUCCGUAGGCGGUUUAAUAAGUCAGUGGUGAAAUCUGGUCGCUCAACGAUCAAACGGCCAUUGAUACUGUUAGACUUGAAUUAUUAGGAAGUAACUAGAAUAUGUAGUGUAGCGGUGAAAUGCUUAGAUAUUACAUGGAAUACCAAUUGCGAAGGCAGGUUACUACUAAUGGAUUGACGCUGAUGGACGAAAGCGUGGGGAGCGAACAGGAUUAGAUACCCUGGUAGUCCACGCCGUAAACGAUGGAUACUAGCUGUUCGGAGCAAUCUGAGUGGCUAAGCGAAAGUGAUAAGUAUCCCACCUGGGGAGUACGUUCGCAAGAAUGAAACUUAAAGGAAUUGACGGCUGAGACGNGACGAGACGACGACGAGGGAGGAGG
rnacentral:rRNA from 1 species